AUGAUUUGCCCCAGUUUACAUGGGAUUAGAUCAUUGCUCCCCACUUUUUACCUCUUCGUCUUCACCGUCACAUACUUUGCACCUCUGGCCGCCCAAUUCAUGUCUCCUCCUCCUGCUUCCCCUAGCUCAAAGUUGCUGAUGCCUGCUCCACAUACCACACUGCCCCAUGUGGGUUGUAAUCCGAUGCUUGCACAGUACAUUGCUGCCAUGUACCCCCCUAGUCAGGUCUGCGCCCUGCUCUCCACAACUGCCUACGACUGUACUCCAAUGCUUGUGCAAUACAUCGCCAGUAUUGCUCCUGGUCGAAUUUGUGCUAUGCUGCCCACAACUGCCACUGAUCAUCCUGCCUCGGGUGCCUCCCCAUCUUCCUUGGCUUCAGACUCAUCCCAGUCAAACAAGCUCAAAUCUUAUAUAUCUUUCUGGGAUAGGUUGACUGUGGCAUUCUUGUUGGGAGCAAUGUUCCUCAUUGCUACGGUGAAGCCACGAGUUGAUGCAGCGGCAAAGGCUGAGGACCGUGCUGCCAGCAAGGAUGACAAGGUGUAUGAGGCUGUGCUUGAUGAGCUGUGCAAGGACCAUAGAUAUGCCGCAAGAGCCCAAGCAGAAGUCCAUGAGGCCACCCGCUGUACCUUUCCUGCAUCACAUGCCCUGCGUCCCGAUGUUGCUCGCCGCAUGCGCACCCGUGAUGACGCUGUCAAAGCGAGAGAAGAGGCUUGCAAGAAGGUUGACGACCUAAGGGCAGUGGUUGGUGUGGCCAGAAUGGGGAAGGUUGAAAGGUUCAUGGUCCGCUGUUUUUUUGUCCUCUCGAUCUUGUUCUCCUUGAGUGCAGGGAUCUGCAGUGCAGCUGCUUUCUUCAGAUCUGCUCAACUAGAGAAGGGGGGUUCGAUGAGCCUUGCUGCUGUUAUUGGCACUAUUGCUGUUGCAGGAGUACCGAUGGUCUUGGCGCAUGCCCAUUUCUUAUAUGUUGCUUUGUACGAGAACUAG
rnacentral:rRNA from 1 species